ensembl:snRNA
ACAAAGGGCUUCUGCCCUGAGUGGCAAAUGUAAGGCAACUCGAUUGCUCUUUGUAUAGAGUCGACAUCAAGAGAUUUUGGAAGCAUGAUUUUUUGGUACUUGGGCAGCCGGUGACUGUUGGUCCUGGAGUCCUU